rnacentral:lncRNA from 1 species
AUCCUUGGCUGAAAUCAUGGAAGUUAAUCGAAGAAAAAGUCGAAUUUAGGAACGAGGUUUGGUCGAGCGGGGUAUAGGAAAGGAAUUUGAGGUUUUAAUCGGGAAAUCUCCAAUUCACAUUAUUGGCAGAAUUAGGGUUGCGUGAAGAAAGCUUUAGCAAGGGGCUACAACGAUCAGGUCGCCUACGGUGGUGGUCGCAUCAGAUGGUCGCCGGAAUCGGGUGAAGAAGAUAAGCUGUCCAAAAUCUGAAUUUCAGCUUUUGGUCCUUUGAAGAAUUAAUUGCUCGGAGGCCUUAAAGGUUGAAUAUUGACGAUCAGGACACACGGUUAGAAACCUCGAGAUGUUAGCUUUCCAUUGGUGUUGGAGCUCGGUAGUAUUAAUCGGCGGUGGUUGCCGGAAUUGGGCGAGAAGUUCAGCCUGCUCGCUGGACCUAUAAUGAAAUCUGCUGCCGCACCUGUUUU